rnacentral:rRNA from 1 species
UACGUAGGGGGCUAGCGUUGUCCGGAAUCAUUGGGCGUAAAGAGCGUGUAGGCGGUCCGGUAAGUCCGCUGUGAAAGUCGGGGGCUCAACCCUCGAAUGCCGGUGGAUACUGUCGGGCUAGAGUGCGGAAGAGGCGAGUGGAAUUCCUGGUGUAGCGGUGAAAUGCGCAGAUAUCAGGAGGAACACCCGUGGCGAAAGCGGCUCUCUGGGACGGUACUGACGCUGAGACGCGAAAGCGUGGGGAGCGAACAGG